GGGGAUAUUGCACAAUGGGGGGAACCCUGAUGCAGCGACGCCGCGUGGGCGAUGGAGUACUUCGGUAUGUAAAGCCCUAUCAGCAGGGAAGAAAAUGACGGUACCUGACUAAGAAGCCCCGGCUAAAUACGUGCCAGCAGCCGCGGUAAUACGUAUGGGGCAAGCGUUAUCCGGAUUUACUGGGUGUAAAGGGAGCGUAGGCGGCCUGGCAAGCCUGAUGUGAAAUACCGGGGCCCAACCCCGGGGCUGCAUUGGGAACUGCCAGGCUGGAGUGCCGGAGAGGCAGGCGGAAUUCCUAGUGUAGCGGUGAAAUGCGUAGAUAUUAGGAGGAACACCAGUGGCGAAGGCGGCCUGCUGGACGGUGACUGACGCUGAGGCUCGAAAGCGUGGGGAGCAAA
rnacentral:rRNA from 1 species